AGGAUUCCCCUAGUAACUGCGAGUGAAGCGGGAAAAGCUCAAAUUUAAAAUCUGGCGGUCUCUGGCCGUCCGAGUUGUAAUCUAGAGAAGUAAUGCCCGUGCUGGACCGUGUAUAAGUCUCCUGGGAUGGGGCGUCAUAGAGGGUGAGAAUCCCGUCUUUGACACGGACUACCAGUGCAUUGUGGUAUGCUCUCAAAGAGUCGAGUUGUUUGGGAAUGCAGCUCAAAAUGGGUGGUAAAUUCCAUCUAAAGCUAAAUAUUGGCGAGAGACCGAUAGCGAACAAGUACCGUGAGGGAAAGAUGAAAAGAACUUUGGAAAGAGAGUUAAACAGUACGUGAAAUUGCUGAAAGGGAAACGCUUGAAGUCAGUCGCGUUGGCUGGGAAUCAGCCUUGCUUUUUGCUUGGUGUACUUUCUGGUUGACGGGUCAGCAUCAAUUUUGACCGCUGGAAAAAGACCUGGGGAAUGUGGCAGCUUCGGCUGUGUUAUAGCCCCUAGUCGCAUACAGUGGUUGGGAUUGAGGAACUCAGCACGCCGCAAGGCCGGGUUUCGACCACGUUCGUGCUUAGGAUGCUGGCAUAAUGGCUUUAAGCGACCCGUCUUGAAACACGGACCAAGGAGUCUAACAUGCCUGCGAGUAUUUGGGUGGAAAACCCAAGUGCGUAAUGAAAGUGAAAGUUGAGAUCCCUGUCAUGGGGAGCAUCGACGCCCGGACCAGAACUUUUGGGACGGAUCCGCGGUGGAGCAUGUAUGUUGGGACCCGAAAGAUGGUGAACUAUGCCUGAAUAGGGUGAAGCCAGAGGAAACUCUGGUGGAGGCUCGUAGCGAUUCUGACGUGCAAAUCGAUCGUCAAAUUUGGGUAUAGGGGCGAAAGAC
rnacentral:rRNA from 1 species